GGUGCUGUGGAGAGCGCACACCUGCAGCGAAUCACUCAUCGAGGAUCACUAUUUAGGACCUGCUGCAGCUCUCUUCAGCGCCUGAGUCUUGCCAACCUUACCUUACGUGCCUCCUGCCCUGAUCACCGCAGCCAGCUCCAGCACACUCUCACUUUCCCUUGGACUCCUGAGAUCCCCCCUCCCUUUGUCACUUACCUGCACAAUAAAUCUGUUAAAUCUGC